rnacentral:rRNA from 1 species
GGGUUGUGAGGUUAAGCGACUAAGCGUACACGGUGGAUGCCCUGGCAGUCAGAGGCGAUGAAGGACGUGCUAAUCUGCGAUAAGCGUCGGUAAGGUGAUAUGAACCGUUAUAACCGGCGAUUUCCGAAUGGGGAAACCCAGUGUGUUUCGACACACUAUCAUUAACUGAAUCCAUAGGUUAAUGAGGCGAACCGGGGGAACUGAAACAUCUAAGUACCCCGAGGAAAAGAAAUCAACCGAGAUUCCCCCAGUAGCGGCGAGCGAACGGGGAGCAGCCCAGAGCCUGAAUCAGUGUGUGUGUUAGUGGAAGCGUCUGGAAAGGCGCGCGAUACAGGGUGACAGCCCCGUACACAAAAAUGCACAUACUGUGAGCUCGAUGAGUAGGGCGGGACACGUGGUAUCCUGUCUGAAUAUGGGGGGACCAUCCUCCAAGGCUAAAUACUCCUGACUGACCGAUAGUGAACCAGUACCGUGAGGGAAAGGCGAAAAGAACCCCGGCGAGGGGAGUGAAAAAGAACCUGAAACCGUGUACGUACAAGCAGUGGGAGCACGCUUCGGCGUGUGACUGCGUACCUUUUGUAUAAUGGGUCAGCGACUUAUAUUCUGUAGCAAGGUUAACCGAAUAGGGGAGCCGAAGGGAAACCGAGUCUUAACUGGGCGUUAAGUUGCAGGGUAUAGACCCGAAACCCGGUGAUCUAGCCAUGGGCAGGUUGAAGGUUGGGUAACACUAACUGGAGGACCGAACCGACUAAUGUUGAAAAAUUAGCGGAUGACUUGUGGCUGGGGGUGAAAGGCCAAUCAAACCGGGAGAUAGCUGGUUCUCCCCGAAAGCUAUUUAGGUAGCGCCUCGUGAAUUCAUCUCCGGGGGUAGAGCACUGUUUCGGCAAGGGGGUCAUCCCGACUUACCAACCCGAUGCAAACUGCGAAUACCGGAGAAUGUUAUCACGGGAGACACACGGCGGGUGCUAACGUCCGUCGUGAAGAGGGAAACAACCCAGACCGCCAGCUAAGGUCCCAAAGUCAUGGUUAAGUGGGAAACGAUGUGGGAAGGCCCAGACAGCCAGGAUGUUGGCUUAGAAGCAGCCAUCAUUUAAAGAAAGCGUAAUAGCUCACUGGUCGAGUCGGCCUGCGCGGAAGAUGUAACGGGGCUAAACCAUGCACCGAAGCUGCGGCAGCGACACUAUGUGUUGUUGGGUAGGGGAGCGUUCUGUAAGCCUGUGAAGGUGUGCUGUGAGGCAUGCUGGAGGUAUCAGAAGUGCGAAUGCUGACAUAAGUAACGAUAAAGCGGGUGAAAAGCCCGCUCGCCGGAAGACCAAGGGUUCCUGUCCAACGUUAAUCGGGGCAGGGUGAGUCGACCCCUAAGGCGAGGCCGAAAGGCGUAGUCGAUGGGAAACAGGUUAAUAUUCCUGUACUUGGUGUUACUGCGAAGGGGGGACGGAGAAGGCUAUGUUGGCCGGGCGACGGUUGUCCCGGUUUAAGCGUGUAGGCUGGUUUUCCAGGCAAAUCCGGAAAAUCAAGGCUGAGGCGUGAUGACGAGGCACUACGGUGCUGAAGCAACAAAUGCCCUGCUUCCAGGAAAAGCCUCUAAGCAUCAGGUAACAUUAAAUCGUACCCCAAACCGACACAGGUGGUCAGGUAGAGAAUACCAAGGCGCUUGAGAGAACUCGGGUGAAGGAACUAGGCAAAAUGGUGCCGUAACUUCGGGAGAAGGCACGCUGAUAUGUAGGUGAAGUCCCUCGCGGAUGGAGCUGAAAUCAGUCGAAGAUACCAGCUGGCUGCAACUGUUUAUUAAAAACACAGCACUGUGCAAACACGAAAGUGGACGUAUACGGUGUGACGCCUGCCCGGUGCCGGAAGGUUAAUUGAUGGGGUUAGCGGUAACGCGAAGCUCUUGAUCGAAGCCCCGGUAAACGGCGGCCGUAACUAUAACGGUCCUAAGGUAGCGAAAUUCCUUGUCGGGUAAGUUCCGACCUGCACGAAUGGCGUAAUGAUGGCCAGGCUGUCUCCACCCGAGACUCAGUGAAAUUGAACUCGCUGUGAAGAUGCAGUGUACCCGCGGCAAGACGGAAAGACCCCGUGAACCUUUACUAUAGCUUGACACUGAACAUUGAGCCUUGAUGUGUAGGAUAGGUGGGAGGCUUUGAAGUGUGGACGCCAGUCUGCAUGGAGCCGACCUUGAAAUACCACCCUUUAAUGUUUGAUGUUCUAACGUUGACCCGUAAUCCGGGUUGCGGACAGUGUCUGGUGGGUAGUUUGACUGGGGCGGUCUCCUCCUAAAGAGUAACGGAGGAGCACGAAGGUUGGCUAAUCCUGGUCGGACAUCAGGAGGUUAGUGCAAUGGCAUAAGCCAGCUUGACUGCGAGCGUGACGGCGCGAGCAGGUGCGAAAGCAGGUCAUAGUGAUCCGGUGGUUCUGAAUGGAAGGGCCAUCGCUCAACGGAUAAAAGGUACUCCGGGGAUAACAGGCUGAUACCGCCCAAGAGUUCAUAUCGACGGCGGUGUUUGGCACCUCGAUGUCGGCUCAUCACAUCCUGGGGCUGAAGUAGGUCCCAAGGGUAUGGCUGUUCGCCAUUUAAAGUGGUACGCGAGCUGGGUUUAGAACGUCGUGAGACAGUUCGGUCCCUAUCUGCCGUGGGCGCUGGAGAACUGAGGGGGGCUGCUCCUAGUACGAGAGGACCGGAGUGGACGCAUCACUGGUGUUCGGGUUGUCAUGCCAAUGGCACUGCCCGGUAGCUAAAUGCGGAAGAGAUAAGUGCUGAAAGCAUCUAAGCACGAAACUUGCCCCGAGAUGAGUUCUCCCUGACUCCUUGAGAGUCCUGAAGGAACGUUGAAGACGACGACGUU